GUUAAGCGACUAAGCGUACACGGUGGAUGCCCUGGCAGUCAGAGGCGAUGAAGGACGUGCUAAUCUGCGAUAAGCGUCGGUAAGGUGAUAUGAACCGUUAUAACCGGCGAUUUCCGAAUGGGGAAACCCAGUGUGAUUCGUCACACUAUCAUUAACUGAAUCCAUAGGUUAAUGAGGCGAACCGGGGGAACUGAAACAUCUAAGUACCCCGAGGAAAAGAAAUCAACCGAGAUUCCCCCAGUAGCGGCGAGCGAACGGGGAGCAGCCCAGAGCCUGAAUCAGUGUGUGUGUUAGUGGAAGCGUCUGGAAAGGCGCGCGAUACAGGGUGACAGCCCCGUACACAAAAAUGCACAUACUGUGAGCUCGAUGAGUAGGGCGGGACACGUGGUAUCCUGUCUGAAUAUGGGGGGACCAUCCUCCAAGGCUAAAUACUCCUGACUGACCGAUAGUGAACCAGUACCGUGAGGGAAAGGCGAAAAGAACCCCGGCGAGGGGAGUGAAAAAGAACCUGAAACCGUGUACGUACAAGCAGUGGGAGCACGCUUAGGCGUGUGACUGCGUACCUUUUGUAUAAUGGGUCAGCGACUUAUAUUCUGUAGCAAGGUUAACCGAAUAGGGGAGCCGAAGGGAAACCGAGUCUUAACUGGGCGUUAAGUUGCAGGGUAUAGACCCGAAACCCGGUGAUCUAGCCAUGGGCAGGUUGAAGGUUGGGUAACACUAACUGGAGGACCGAACCGACUAAUGUUGAAAAAUUAGCGGAUGACUUGUGGCUGGGGGUGAAAGGCCAAUCAAACCGGGAGAUAGCUGGUUCUCCCCGAAAGCUAUUUAGGUAGCGCCUCGUGAAUUCAUCUCCGGGGGUAGAGCACUGUUUCGGCAAGGGGGUCAUCCCGACUUACCAACCCGAUGCAAACUGCGAAUACCGGAGAAUGUUAUCACGGGAGACACACGGCGGGUGCUAACGUCCGUCGUGAAGAGGGAAACAACCCAGACCGCCAGCUAAGGUCCCAAAGUCAUGGUUAAGUGGGAAACGAUGUGGGAAGGCCCAGACAGCCAGGAUGUUGGCUUAGAAGCAGCCAUCAUUUAAAGAAAGCGUAAUAGCUCACUGGUCGAGUCGGCCUGCGCGGAAGAUGUAACGGGGCUAAACCAUGCACCGAAGCUGCGGCAGCGACGCUGAUGCGUUGUUGGGUAGGGGAGCGUUCUGUAAGCCUGUGAAGGUGUGCUGUGAGGCAUGCUGGAGGUAUCAGAAGUGCGAAUGCUGACAUAAGUAACGAUAAAGCGGGUGAAAAGCCCGCUCGCCGGAAGACCAAGGGUUCCUGUCCAACGUUAAUCGGGGCAGGGUGAGUCGACCCCUAAGGCGAGGCCGAAAGGCGUAGUCGAUGGGAAACAGGUUAAUAUUCCUGUACUUGGUGUUACUGCGAAGGGGGGACGGAGAAGGCUAUGUUGGCCGGGCGACGGUUGUCCCGGUUUAAGCGUGUAGGCUGGUUUUCCAGGCAAAUCCGGAAAAUCAAGGCUGAGGCGUGAUGACGAGGCACUACGGUGCUGAAGCAACAAAUGCCCUGCUUCCAGGAAAAGCCUCUAAGCAUCAGGUAACAUCAAAUCGUACCCCAAACCGACACAGGUGGUCAGGUAGAGAAUACCAAGGCGCUUGAGAGAACUCGGGUGAAGGAACUAGGCAAAAUGGUGCCGUAACUUCGGGAGAAGGCACGCUGAUAUGUAGGUGAAGCGACUUGCUCGUGGAGCUGAAAUCAGUCGAAGAUACCAGCUGGCUGCAACUGUUUAUUAAAAACACAGCACUGUGCAAACACGAAAGUGGACGUAUACGGUGUGACGCCUGCCCGGUGC
rnacentral:rRNA from 1 species